CCCUUAGAUGUUCUGGGCCGCACGCGCGCUACACUGAUGCAUUCAACGAGCCCAGCCUUGACCGAGAGGUCCGGGUAAUCUUUGAAACUGCAUCGUGAUGGGGCUAGAUUAUUGCAAUUAUUAAUCUUCAACGAGGAAUGCCUAGUAAGCGUGAUUCAUCAAAUCGCGUUGAUUACGUCCCUGCCCUUUGUACACACCGCCCGUCGCUCCUACCGAUUGAGUGUGUUGGUGAGGAGUUCGGAUUGGCUCUUAGUGGUGGUUCGCCACCACCUAGAGCUGAGAAGUUCUCCAAACCGCCCCACUUAGAGGAAGGAGAAGUCGUAACA
rnacentral:rRNA from 1 species